rnacentral:rRNA from 1 species
UACGGGGGGGGCAAGCGUUGUUCGGAAUUACUGGGCGUAAAGGGUUCGUAGGUGGCCUGCUAAGUCGGACGUGAAAUCCCUCGGCUCAACCGGGGAACUGCGUCCGAUACUGGUGGGCUCGAGUGUUGCAGGGGAGACUGGAAUUCCUGGUGUAGCGGUGAAAUGCGCAGAUAUCAGGAGGAACACCAAUAGCGAAGGCAGCUCGCUGGGACGUUACUGACACUGAGGCGCGAAAGCGUGGGGAGCGAACAGG